ACGAGGCGCUGUCUACGAGUCG
rnacentral:snRNA from 1 species